GACAGUGGGGGCAAGCGUUGCUCGGAAUUACUGGGCGUAAAGGGCGCGUAGGCGGGAUGGCAAGUCGGUCGUGAAAGCCUUCGGCUCAACCGAAGAACGUCGGCCGAUACUGCCGUUCUUGAGGGAUGCAGAGGAGACUGGAAUUCCCGGUGUAGCGGUGAAAUGCGCAGAUAUCGGGAGGAACACCAAUUGCGAAGGCAGCUUGCUGGGACGGUACUGACGCUGAGGCGCGAAAGCGUGGGGAGCAAACAGG
rnacentral:rRNA from 1 species